CAGGGUACCUGCCGAGGAGGACAGAGUGGGCCGGGUUCCUCCAGCAUCACCCGAAGAGGAGCCUACCUCCCUCCCAGUCCAGAGGAAGGAACCUUGUCACCCUAUGAACACACCCUCCCUGGGGAGCCCAGGAGGGCGGCCAUGGCUCCUGCUGCCACGGUGUGCUAUUUGGUGGAAGCGUGAGCUGAAGCAACUCUUCCUUCCUUAAGUUGCUUUACUAAGGAACCAACCCAGGACAACUCCUUGGACACUCCUUGAGCACUGCAAGAAACACAGGGGCCUGUGGGAAGGGGAAGAGUGAGAUGCCGCGCCACCAUGCUGAGAGACCACCCCGAGUCUGUGGUGGAGACAGAGGACUCGGGGCUGUGCUGUUUUCAGAGGUGGCGAGAGCUUAAGUGCCCAGACUUACCUGUAGGUGUUUCUCAAAGCCAUGGAAAAGCCAGUCUCACAGAGCCAUUAAGGAAAUAAAAAUACAACUUAAAAAGUC
rnacentral:lncRNA from 1 species